rnacentral:rRNA from 1 species
UACAGAGGUUUCAAGCGUUGUUCGGAUUCAUUGGGCGUAAAGGGUGUGUAGGUGGCGCCGUAAGUCGGGCGUGAAAUUUCGGAGCUUAACUCCGAAACUGCAUUCGAUACUGCGGUGCUUGAGGACUGGAGAGGAGACUGGAAUUCAUGGUGUAGCAGUGAAAUGCGUAGAGAUCAUGAGGAAGACCAGUGGCGAAGGCGGGUCUCUGGACAGUUCCUGACACUGAGACACGAAGGCCAGGGGAGCAAACGGG